UUCGCGGUCUCCGACUCGCCCUAGAGUGCUAGGGCCUAUUGGCAGUCUUCUUCGAGAGGACCUAUUGAAAUUCGAAGUCUGAAGCCAAUCUCAAUACACAACAGAGCCCCUCCCUCCGCUUCCCAACACUUCAACUGGCAGUGGACUCCUGCGGCUACCAAAAUCGACCGCGCGGUGAUCGAACUCGCUUACUUGCAGCCGGAUUCCUCUUCCUUCUCCUCCCUCAGCAACCCUUUCCUUCCCCUAUAAAUGGCGGGAGCUUUCGCUUCUCCUGUUUUUCCCCUCCUCCAUUAACACCCCAGCUCCCCUACUUUUAUCAUCCCAAUCUCUCCAAAUUCUCUUUCAAGAUUCCCCGAUUCUCCCCCACCUCUCCCCUCGAUCCGUAAAAUCCUAGAACCCAACGCCUCCUUGUAGUCUUUGCACCAGAUUAGGGUGUUUCGAGAUUCCUCUCUCUCGAACCCUAUCCCAAACCCCGAUUCCUUCUUUGUCUCCGAUCUUGUUCUUGGAGGGUCCGCCUUGCUCUGCAGGGGCGGAGAGCGCUCGCUUCUCUUGGUGACAACUCCUUUCUUUGACCCUGGAGCUCUGCUCGAUCCGAAGAGUUGACGGGUGCCCGAGAGACAUCUCGGUCUCAAUGGAGGCUGCCGCGGGCCGCGGCGGGUCCCUUGACAUGCUCUCCUCUCAGCCGGCCAGAAAGAAGUGGCGCGCCGUCUCCGAGCAUCCCUUCCGCAACAAUGGUGUAGAGGAACAGGAGCACGUUAAACUAGGGCAAUCUGACGAGAGAACGAUAUAUGAGGUGCAGGAGGGAACGGGGCCACUGGAUGUGGACUUCUGUUCGAUCACGAUCGUUGGCGGGGGUUUGAAUGAUGAUACAUUGCAGCUGAGGCUGCAAAGUAUCACCAGGCAGAGAGAGGAGCUGCAGCAGAGGGAGACUGAGCUGCGAUCUCAGGUUAUUGCCAGGAUGGAGAUUUCAGAGGUGCAGAACAGCUACGAAGAGCAAAUUAAGGAGCAUGCAAAUGCCGCUGCCAAACUAAAGGAACAACUACAAGAAAGAGAACAACACAUGCAUGAGUUGGAGAUGAAAUUGGAAGAGAAAGAUAGAGAGCUAUGUGCUAUGAAAAUUGACAAUGAAGCUGCUUGGGCUAAGGAGGACCUUCUUAGAGAACAAAACAAAGAGUUAGCCACCUUCAGAAGAGAGCAAGAUAACUUAGAAGCAGAAAGAGCACAACAACUUAAGCAAAUCCGUGAUUUGCAAGAACAUAUACAAGAAAAAGAAAACCAGUUUCUUGCAUUGGAGGAGCAGCAUAGGGUUGCACAGGAAACUAUUCUUUACAAGGAUGAACAAUUGAGAGAGGCCCAAACUUGGAUUGCUCGAAUUCAAGAAAUGGAUGCUUUGCAGUCCACAACCAACCAGUCGUUACAAGCUGAGCUACGAGAACGUACUGAGCAUUUUAACCAAUGUUGGCUUGGUUUUCAACAACAGUUUGUGGAAAUGGAGCGGCAUCAUCUGCAAGCGAUACAGCAGCUCCAGCUAGAGUUAGCUGAUGCAAGGGAACGAAGUGGAAUAUAUAAAGAUAAUUCACAAGUGCCUCAUGAGAGCUCAAAGGGUUUAUCUUCAUAUGCACAAAGCAAGGGAAACCAGAUUAAUGCGACUGAUGGUGGCACAUUAAAUGGAAACAUGGGGUUCUUAUCUAAUGGACAUUUGGAUGGCAGUCCAUCUUUUGUUUCAGCUUCCAAUGCAUCUAUAAAGAGUGAACAUGCUCCUGGUGUUCCAAUUGUUCCAUCUUCCAUAAUUGGGAUGGGUUCCUUUCUUCCUCCUGGCCAGAUGGCUGCUUUGCAUCCCUACGUGAUGCAUCCGCAAGGUGUUUCACAAUCUGUAUCAUCAACCAACUCACCCAUUCCUCAACCUCAAAUGGGCCAUUUUCAGCCACUAUCUACAAUUCCAGCUCACCAGCAGUGGCAAAAUCAACAGGCAGUACCUGAUAUCUCACAAAUACCUAAUCAGAACAAAUAUCAACCAUCUCAAACAGAGCAGAAUCUUUUAAGAUCAGAUGCUAAUUAUAGGUUUGAGCUCGCUGGUGAAAGGCAGGAGGUCCAUCCAGACCAUCUUCACAACCACGUCAGCCAACAGCAGAGAUCUAGUCCUGUAAUAAGCGGAUCAAGUGAAGAAGUUCAGGUGCUCAAGUUGAACGGCAAAUCAUACCCCAUGUCCCAAGAACCACAGGACACCUUGAAUGCAAACUCUCAGUUUAGUUCUGCAUUAGAAUUUGAACCACCAGAGCAGAUAAGUGAGCUUAAGGUACAGGAUAAGAAGACAGUUGCUGCAGUCAACCAAUCACAGGAACCAGUUUUGACAGCAGGACAACUACGGUUGGCUUCUAGUGUGAUUGAGUCUGUUGCUCCAAACAACUCUUUAAGCUCCAAUACUGCAGGAGAAUGCAAUGAGAAUGAAAUGAGUUUUCCUGAAGUUUCUGUAUCAGCUGUACGAACACAAAGUUCAAUGAUACCUGGGAAAUUUGUGGAGCCCACUCUUUUAGAUGAAAGGUCUCUUUUGGCAUCUAUUGUGCGUGCUAUUCCAGCUGGAUCUGAUGGUCGAAUCAGGAUCAGCACAACUCUACCAAAUAGGCUGGCAAAAAUGCUUGCGCCUCUUCACUGGCAUGAUUACAAGAAACACUAUGGCAAGCUUGAUGACUUUGUGGCUCAUCAUCCAGAAUUAUUUGUCAUUGAAGGGGACUAUAUUCACCUUCGUGAAGGAGCUCAAGAAAUUAUAUCAGCUACUACAGCUGUUGCGAAAGUUGCUGCUGCUGCUGCAUCUUCUGUGCCUUACUCAUCAUUGUUGCCUUCAGUAGCUGUUACUCCUGUUGCACAGAACAACCGCCAAAAAAAGUUACUGUCAGUUGAUCCAAAAAUAGCAAACAGUGUGUCAUUCAUGGAAGGUGCUGCCCUGACAAACCUUGGAGAUUCAUAUGACAAGCAUUCGGAGAUUUCAAAAGUGCAUGAUCAACAAUCAAAUGGUGUCAGCUUUAACAUCAUCCAAGGGCUCUCAGAUGUUAGAAUUUCAGGCAAGUCAAAAAAUCUCCAAGAACUCAAUGGUUUGUCAUCUGAAAUGAGAUCCAGUCAUUCAUCCAUACACAUCACAGUUGGAAAUGGAACAAAUCUUGAUGGAACAAGUUUGUCCUCUACACAAAAUAAAGGACUCAGUAAUGGUAGACAUGGUUUUGGAGGGAAACAGCACGGAAGGUCUUCUAGUGCUGGCCUGAUUUCCAGAAGAUAGUAAGUGCCAAGUACCGUGAGUUGUUCGACACAUGUUUUUUCUUUUAAAAAAACAGAAUUUGAUAGAUGUGAAGUACUACUGGCCUGAAGAAAAGUCUGAAACAUUGCAUUUUUCUGGAUGCCCAGAGGUUGAAUUCUUGCUGACCACUUUUUUUGAAUUUUCUUAUUGGAUCUCGUGCCUUCUAUUCUGUUUGGAAUUUUUUGCUUAGUUUGUCAAUCUGUACUUGAAUCUGUGUUAACAAUGGAAGGUAGGAAAAAUGGAAGAGAUUUUUGCAACCGCGCAAUAUUUUCUGCAUUCGGUUUAAUCUAUUGGAUGAGGUUAAAAA